ensembl:lncRNA
CAUCUACAACAUCUGUAGAGGUGUGGGCGUGGCAUACUCCCAUGGUGCUUCGCGAGUUGCACACAGGGAAUGACUAUCGUCAGCGACUCACGGCUCGUCUCACUCUGAUCGGAUUUUCUCUGCUUGAGACAUCUUUGUUCAGAUAGACCCUUUUGCUCUCCUUUCCACGGAUUAAUAUUGUGAGCGGAUUCUUUCGAGUACGUUCUGUCUUUCAACUUUGCGGUUCAACCAAAGAAGUUCGUUGUCAAGGUAAGUCCUUAUGAAAUGGAUAAUUAUGUUUAUUGUAUUACGUUGGCAUGGUUGCUUUGGCGGUUUGCUUUUGAUGCAGUAAUGGCAAGCAAAGGAUUUGCGACAAAACAUUAAAGCCCGUAGAUCUUGUAUGGCAAGCAAAGGAUUUGCGACAAAACAUUAAAGCCCGUAGAUCUUGUAUAUAUAUUUUUUGGAUGCCAUACGGCGGCGUCUAGGCCGCCAUUUUGCCACAGAAAAGCUUGUGUGGUGGAAUCCGUUGUAGCGGACGUAAGUCAGUGACGCUGUAUGUAUAAUACAAAACACACUGAAGGCAUGAUAUUUUGUCGCAAAUCCUUUGCUAUGUAGUGUUCAUUAUUUAACUCUCGAAACGAGAAAACGUGGGAUUUCAUUAUUUAACUCUCGAAACGAGAAAACGUGGGAUCAUCUGAAAUGGAUAUUUAUGUUUAUUGCCAUACGGCGGCGUCUGGGCCGCCAUUUUGCGAUCUGCACAAACGCUAAUACUCUUAUCUCGCUGAAAUCUUGACGGAUUUACAAACGGUUUGGUUUCUUACAAACGCAGCUUUUCUCUUCGGCAGUGAUGUUGAUAGGUUUUCAAUGUAGGGUUAGGGUUGUAGUUGUUUUGGUAGCGGCUAAAUUAGCAUGUCGCGAUACUACAGUGGAUCACGUCUGCGCCGAGUAGAUGCGCAGAGGGUUGAAACAGCGCUUGUCCGGUUUGGUUUCUUACAAACGCAGCUUUUCUCUUCGGCAGUGUUGUUGAUACGUUUUCAAUGUAGGGUUAGGGUUGUAGUUGUUUUGGUAGCGGCUAAAUUAGCAUGUCGCGAUACUACAGGGGAUCACGUCUGCGCCGAGUAGAUGCGCAGAGGGUUGAAACGGCGGCGUCUAGGCCGCCAGCCAUAUUACCACAGAAAAGCUUUCUGGUGGACUCUGUCCAUACAAUGCAAUGUGUUUUAAAUGCUGAAAUGUCGUGUUACAUUCACUUUUUACACGCACACAUCCGCCCAACAGUCUAAACUCUACCUCUGUCCACCAUAUGCAAUGUGUUUUAAAUGCUGUGCUGUUGGUCAUGAAACGGGAGAUCGUCCGCCGUUCAACUCAAGAUGCCUCGUCCCUCGCGCACUUCGUCUGUAGCCAAGAUGAGGUGGAAGAGGAUUCUUCCCAUGGCAACGACUUUGGCCAGAGGCUUCGUGCCUGCUCCUUUUAGAAAAUGUACAGCGCAUAACGUCAAUUGCGCAGCACGCGGCACAUCGUCACGUAACCAACAUCAAAGAAGAAAAAUACACAGCGAGUGGGGCAGUUGUUGGCAGUAGGCUACCCUACACGGUUGCAAAGUUACAUUGAUUCUAGCAGUAGCGAGUGAGGCGGAAGAUCGAAGAAAGAAGGAAAGAGAGAGACAGACACAGAGAGAGAGAGACAGACAGAGAGAGAGAGAGAAAGUAAGUUGCUAAAAUGUGUCGCUACAUGACCACCAGUAUUAAAAACCCUCUGAGCCCAAUCAUUUUAUUGUAUCUAUAAACCGCAACCUCCGUGCCUUUUUUCCUCUAGUAUUGUGUGUGUGUGUGUGUGUAGGCCUAUGUGUGUGUGUGUGUGUGCGUGUUGUCGCUCUUUUUUGGGAUCACUCAUAGCCUUUACAGGAGCUUAUAGCCAGUCAGGAAUUUAUAGCCUAGGUAUUUUCGGGAACUUUGAAAAAUGAAUCCAUACUGUUAGAUCCGAUGUUGUUCUUUAUUGC